rnacentral:sRNA from 2 species
ACUGUCCCCUCUCACCAACCUUAAGAUCCUACAGGCGACAGCGGACUCGAGCACCUGCAGGCCCCAGGAGAAUGGAAGGUGGGCUGAAUCGCAGCUGUUGGCCAUCUUCAUUUCAUUUUGCCUCAUGAGGUUCUCGGUGCUUUUAUAUACAUAUACAUAUACAUAUAUAUAUGUGUCAAAGCCAUCCAAAAUCCCAAUAUCAACGUGGUUCGUAGGGCUGGCUCAAAUCAAGCUCUGGCCCCGCUUUUAUCCCGGCGGCAUCGAUAACACUCUGCCAAUCAUAUCACGAUAACGUGCGGCUUAUUGCCCGUCGUCUCACUUUAUUUUUAAACCUUCUCGGAUCGUUCCCGUGCACUUGGUGAAGUUGAGAGCCAAAAAAACUGGCAUGGGCUGGUAGAUAAUAGAUAUUCAUUUAUAUUGGUAUAUCAUGUUUGGUCCGAGGAAGACUUCUACAUCAGAGAAAGGAAUCUCAAGGGGCCAGUCCCAGCCCGUGCACGGAUCUACUAGCAAGCGGUGGGCAGAAAUUCUGAUUUCAUAGAGGGCAGGAGCUGGAAUAAUCUAACUAUACAACUAAUUAAAAAAGAAAAAGGUGGGAAUCGAAAAAGGCAUGCAUACAUACUUGAGCCUGCUUGAAAAAAAAUGAUAGAGAUUCGAAUGGUCAAAGGGAAGAGUUAAUGAACAUCACAACAUUGUCAAAUAUCUUCCAAAUGAGAGAGAAGAGACACCACUUUGCCACUUCUCAUCGUGGAUAUUUAGUGUAGAAACAAAGACGAAAAGGAGGAAGGAAGAAAAGUACUUCCGACUUUGGAUGAAUUUUUUUUUCCUGUUCAUUCCCCAUCAACCGAAAUGGGAUAUGGAAAAAUAGGUUCCAAUCUAUGGAUAACUCGCCGGAACCUUGGCAAACCCAUCAUCCCCCGCUCUUAAUCAUCAAUCAUAGACCCUCACGGUGUUGGCCUACUCUGUAUUCAAAGCACAUUCCGGUGUUAAAGAGAUAAAGCUUGGUCAUGAAUAUAGAUGCGCCUCAUGCAACUUAGUCUAUAGUCCGCAACAUUGAAUAUUGAUAGCUUCUAUUUACCCUAGAGAUAAGAGGGAAAAAAUUACAAAAAUCAACUAGUUUCAGAAAACCGAGCAAGAGGGUGUGUGUAGCUGAUAACUAGUGUGCCACGGGGGACCCGAUAAGGUUAAGCUUAGGUAGGUACAUAGAUUCAUGGAGGUAAAUAACAGAACAUCGCAACAAAAGGUGGGGGAAGCAAAAAAAUGAAAAGAAAAAAGCAUGGGUCUAGAAGAAAAUGUUGUAGUAAUGUGUCAUGAUUGAGCAGAUAAGCGGUCAUUAAGGAGAGAAGACGAAAUAUAUCGAGGAAAGUAAUGGUAUAGAACAUGGAUACAUGGGGGAGGUGGUGUGGGCUUCUUCAGGAUCAAGGUUGAGAGAGUGGGGAAGAAGUGGCAUACAGAGCAACAUUCAUGGAAUAACAUGCUCCCAACAGCGAACGUCCCGACUAUUCCCGGAUUAUAGUGUCAUAUCGGGAUGGCAUUGAAGGCGACGAAGGGAGACAAUAUAAUCCUGGCGCAGAAGGAAGAAAAAAAUGAUAAGGAUGGAAAAGGAGGGCAAUUGAAGGGACCAGAGACAAUUAAAAGCACUCAAAAAAUAAGCACCCCGAGAAUAAUGCCAGCCAUAAAUAUCAUAAGAACCG